GACGGAAGGUGCAAGCGUUGCUCGGAAUCACUGGGCGUAAAGGGUGCGUAGGCGGCCGUGCAAGUCUGGCGUGAAAGCCCCGGGCUCAGCCCGGGAAGUGCGCUCGAAACUGCGCGGCUCGAGUGCCGGAGGGGAAAGUGGAAUUCCUGGUGUAGCGGUGAAAUGCGUAGAUAUCAGGAGGAAUACCGGUGGCGAAAGCGACUCUCUGGACGGCAACUGACGCUGAGGCACGAAAGCGUGGGAGCAAACAGG
rnacentral:rRNA from 1 species